ncrna:Caenorhabditis briggsae microRNA cbr-mir-359 precursor
AAAUCUUCAUCCGUCAGAGCAUAUCUCAGUUACACAACUUCCUAAAUAGUGUCACUGGUUAUCCUCUGUCGAAAUGAAGAUGU